rnacentral:rRNA from 1 species
UACGUAGGGUGCAAGCGUUGUCCGGAAUUAUUGGGCGUAAAGAGCUCGUAGGCGGUUUGUCGCGUCUGCUGUGAAAACCCGAGGCUCAACCUCGGGCCUGCAGUGGGUACGGGCAGACUAGAGUGUGGUAGGGGAGAACGGAAUUCCUGGUGUAGCGGUGAAAUGCGCAGAUAUCAGGAGGAACACCGGUGGCGAAGGCGGUUCUCUGGGCCUGUACUGACGCUGAGGAACGAAAGCGUGGGGAGCGAACAGG